AUGCAGAUGAAGCAGAAGGUCUACGAGCUCUACAAGGGGACGGUGGAGCGGGUCACGGGCCCGCGCACCGUCUCGGCGUUCCUCGAGAAGGGCGUCCUCUCCGUCCCCGAGUUCAUCCUCGCCGGCGACAACCUCGUAUCCAAGUGCCCAACCUGGUCCUGGGAGGCGGGCGAUCCGAGCAAGAGGAAGCCAUACCUCCCCUCCGAUAAGCAGUUCCUCGUCACCAGGAACGUGCCCUGCCUAAGACGAGCUGUGGCGGUCGAGGAAGAGUAUGAUGCAGCGGGAGCUGAGGUUGUUCUCGAUGAUGAUGAGGAUGGCGAAGGCUGGCUCGCAACACAUGGGCUGCAAGCAUCAGAGUCAAAAGAGGAGGAAGACAUACCGUCUAUGGAUACAUUGGACAUAGGGAAAGUCGAAGAGAUCAAAUCUAUCCCCUCCUACUUUGGUGCUAGUGAAAAGCCAGAUGAGGAGGAGGAUAUACCUGACAUGGACACCUAUGAAGACACAGGAGAUCAUUCUACAGCUACCCCUCAGCCUUCAUAUUUUGUCGCAGAAGAGCCUGAUGAUGACAACAUUCUUCUCACCAGAACAUAUGAUGUUAGCAUCACAUAUGACAAGUACUACCAAACUCCACGUGUCUGGCUUACAGGCUAUGAUGAGGCAAGAAUGCCAUUAAAGCCUGAACUUGUGUUUCAAGAUAUCAGUCAAGACCAUGCACACAAAACGGUGACUAUCGAAGACCAUCCUCACUUGUUAGUGGGACAGCACGCUUCCGUGCAUCCUUGCAAGCACGCUGCUGUGAUGAAAAAGAUCAUUGAUGUUAUAGUGUCUCAAGGAGGUGCACCAGAAGUUGACAAGUACCUUUUCAUAUUUCUCAAAUUCAUGGCUUCUGUCAUACCCACCAUUGAGUAUGAUUACACUAUGGAUUUCGAUCUGGGCAGUACAAGCACAUAA
rnacentral:rRNA from 1 species